UGUCACGUAUAACAUCACAGACAUACAUCAUACCGUGCCACAGUGUGCAUUGAUAAUAUUGCAGCAUCGCAUUAUGAACAUAUCGCAAUCGCAUGCAAUCGGACAAGAAAUAUAGUGAAUAAAUAAAAAAAAUAUUGUUAUUCUUUAAAACAGUUUUCAAUACAUUCGGAUUAAAAAAUUAAUAUAUGUACAUAAUAGCCUAAACUCUUUAUGCUUCAACUAAACAUGCAAUAAUUAAUAUGAACUCUUCUUCUGCAUUUUUAAAACAAAUCAAUAACAAAUUGGACUUAAAGUUUUUAAUAGAAACUGUGACCGAAAGCGUUGGUAAUGACAAUUGUUUUGAUCCCUGCAAAUUGCUAAAACUUCCAUUUGAUUAAAUAUACAUAUAAGUAUACAAAAAUAUACACUAAUUAGAAACAACGGAGACAAAGGUGAUUACUAUGUAAUAGACGUCUCACUAUCUGACAAUAAAAAUGUUAGAAGUUAGGUUCAACUAACGAUAACAGUGGCCCACGUGCAUAGCAAUGCCGUUAUGGUGGAGAAAAGCUGAUGAGUUCCAUGCAAUAGCUUCAACGCAGUCGAAGGAAAAUAUUAUGUGUGACUCUCUUAACACUGUGAAACAAUGACGAAGAGUUGAACCAAAUCUAACGAAGUUUUGGACAAUGACGCGACCAGAAGCUUGAACGGUGAAAACUAUGACUUGAAUGACAGAUAUUGUUCUACAAAAAAUCUUGCAGCAUUUCAAGUUGUUUCCAAAAAUUAUAUUAAUGACUGGUCAGAUUUUUCCUUGCAGAAGUCGACGAUAAAUAUAUAUAUUAUUUUUCCUUAUAUUCAUUUUUGCUACUCUUAUAUUUUUUAAGUCUUUUUCCCGUAAAUUCUAAGCGGUCCUCCCACGACAUUGUUUUUAAAGGCUCAUAUUCGUUAAGGGUGUUAACAGAAUUGUAAAAAAGAUAGAAAAGACUUCGAAAAAAUCUGAUGACCCAACUCACCCCAAACAUAGCGCGGAGAUCAGGAUCCCGGAAUCGAAAAGGUAUAUUGGAG